ensembl:lncRNA
ACAAGGUUUGCGGUUGAAGCAACUUGACAUGAUCACUGAGGGGAUAGCUGCAAGCUCCAGGACAUUAACAAGAAUGGCAAAAGUACUCAGAAAGGUUUGCAUCGCUGCCCUCAAGUGACUGAGGAAAAGAGGAAUGAGGAUUGGUGGUCGUCAUUGUUUUGUUGUUAUCGACGAGAGCAAAUUUGCCCACAAGCAAAAGUACCAUCGUGGUUGAUGCGGCAACACUUGGCACCGUGAGCGGCAGUGGGUCUUUGGGAUGCUGGAGGUUGAUGGGAAUUCUAGAAGACCCAUUCUGAGACUUGAUCGCACAAGGCAAACCCUUAUAGGCAAAAUUAGACGCCAUAUCAGACCCAGAACAUCCAUCCUCACUGAUGAGUGGCGUGCCUACAAGGGGCAACUUGCAAAGUAUGGAUAUGGGAAUGACCAUUGCAGCAGCAUGUGCUCCUCCGGGAGGGGGGCGCAACCCUGUGACCCCCAGAUUCAUUCGCCACUUCAGCAUGCUGUGUCUGCCAACACCCUCGGAACACAGCCUCAAGCAGAUCUUCAAAGCCAUCCUUUGCGGUUUCCUGAGUGA